rnacentral:rRNA from 1 species
GAUGAACGCUGGCGGCGUGCCUAAUACAUGCAAGUCGAGCGAAUGGAUUAAGAGCUUGCUCUUAUGAAGUUAGCGGCGGACGGGUGAGUAACACGUGGGUAACCUGCCCAUAAGACUGGGAUAACUCCGGGAAACCGGGGCUAAUACCGGAUAACAUUUUGAACCGCAUGGUUCGAAAUUGAAAGGCGGCUUCGGCUGUCACUUAUGGAUGGACCCGCGUCGCAUUAGCUAGUUGGUGAGGUAACGGCUCACCAAGGCAACGAUGCGUAGCCGAACUGAGAGGGGGAUCGGCCACACUGGGACUGAGACACGGCCCAGACUCCUACGGGAGGCAGCAGUAGGGAAUCUUCCGCAAUGGACGAAAGUCUGACGGAGCAACACCGCGUGAGUGAUGAAGGCUUUCGGGUCGUAAAACUCUGUUGUUAGGGAAGAACAAGUGCUAGUUGAAUAAGCUGGCACCUUGACGGUACCUAACCAGAAAGCCACGGCUAACUACGUGCCAGCAGCCGCCGUAA